UAAUAGUGUAUAUUAAAGUUGUUGCAGUUAAAAAGCUCGUAGUUGAAUGUUGGUGUCGAACGAGCGGUCAGCUUCGGCUGUACUGCUCUCUCGACUCCUUCCUUCUGUGGACUACGUCGCACUUUACUGUGUGGCGCUAGGACGCAGAUCGUUUACUGUGAAAAAAUUAGAGUGUUCAAAGCAGGCCGUACGCUUGAAUACAUUAGCAUGGAAUAAUGGAAUAGGACGUCGGGCCUAUUUUGUUGGUUCUAGGACCGUCGUAAUGAUUAAUAGGGACAGUUGGGGCCGUUUAUAUUCCGUAGUCAGAGGUGAAAUUCUUGGAUUUACGGAAGAUGAACUACUGCGAAAGCAUUCGGCAAGGAUGUUUUCGUUAA
rnacentral:rRNA from 1 species